ACUGAUCAGGAUGUUAUUCCCAGCAAGCAGAGAGAAAAUAUAACAAUUCCAGCUGCCGCAAUUUGAUAUUUUUUGCAGGUUUUCCUUUCCUGUAUUUUUGUUUGUUUUAUAAUUAGAAAAUUGAACAUACCACUCUUUGUAACAAAAUUAGUCAAGUUUGGAGUUCCAAUGGGAUGGAACUGUUUCUAGUUACUUUAUGUCCAUGCUGUCUGUAAAUAUUUUUUUUACUGUAAAAGUGCAAUGUACCCCCAAAAAGAACCCAAAUGACAGUUUCUGCAGUUUGUUCUUAAUAAUCAGUUGUCAAUCAGAGUUACCUAAAAUAAGC